rnacentral:rRNA from 1 species
AGUGAACGCUGGCGGCGUGCCUAAUACAUGCAAGUCGAACGGAGUGGCGCACGGGUGAGUACUGUAUAGCUAAUCUGCCCUACACUAGAGGAAAACAGUUGGAAACGGCAGCAAAUACUCUAUAGUGUAGGUUGAGGCUAUAUUGUAUCAGCUAGUUGGUGAGGUAAUGGCUCACCAAGGCUAUGACGCAUAACUGGUCUGAGAGGAUGAUCAGUCACACUGGAACUGAGACACGGUCAAGACUCCGACGGGAGGCAGCAGUAGGGAAGAUGGCUCAAUGGGGGAAACCCUGAAGCAGCAACGCCGCGUGGAGGAUGACACUGUUCGGAGCGUAAACUCCUUUUGUUAGGGAAGCGGUACCUAACGAAUAAGCACCGGCUAACUCCGUGCCAGCAGCCGCGGUAAUAC